GUCCUUGCCGUAAACGAUGUAUACUUGAUGUAACUGGGCUCAACCCUGGUUGUGUCGAAGCUAACGCGAUAAGUAUACCGCCUGGGGAGUACGCUCGCAAGGGUGAAACUCAAAAAGAAUUGACGGGGACCCGCACAAGCAGUGGAGCAUGUGGUUUAAUUCGAUGCAACGCGAAGAACCUUACCCAGAUUUGACAUACAGUGGAAGUUAGCAGAAAUGUUAACGCCCUUCGGGGCCGCUGAACAGGUGCUGCAUGGCUGUCGU
rnacentral:rRNA from 1 species